GCUCCCAUGGCGUAGUGGUCACUGCACUCGCCUUGCACGCGGGAGACCCGGGUUCUAUUCCCGGCGGGGUCA
rfam:Asian citrus Psyllid, Diaphorina citri - Florida Strain, whole genome shotgun sequence.